rnacentral:rRNA from 1 species
AUGACCAGUCGUGGCAUACUAAUCACCACUACCCGUAUGAUUGAUGUUGUGCAUUCAUGUCAUUCAUCAUUCAGUGGCCAUAUUUGUAAUAUGAAGUCUCUUCAUAUGGAGCACUCAAGACAUCUAUUUCACAAAAGAUUAUUCAGUUCCAAAGAAGAUUGUCCUUCAUACCUUGAAGAAGUUUCUGAGCAAAUAUUGGAAAAAUGUGAUGGGCCUUUAGCAAUCAUUGCUAUAUCUUGUUUGUUGGGUAACACAGAAAGAACAAAGCAGCAAUGGAACCAAGUAAAAGAUUCAAUUGGUCGUGCACUUGAAAGGAAUCCUAGUGUUGAAGGAAUGAUGCAGAUAUUGUCACUUAGUUACUUUGAUCUGCCUUCUCAUCUAAAAGGUUGUCUCCUAUAUCUAAGUAUAUUUUCAGAAGAUUCUAUUAUUGAGAAGAAGGGUCUCAUAAGGGGAUGGGUUGCUGAAGGACUUGUUUGCAAAGAAGGCAGAUGUACAUCAUAUGAGUUAGGAGAGAAGUAUUUUAGUGAGCUCGUCAAUAGGAGUUUUAUCCAACCCGUGAAGGUGGACAAAUAUGAUAAGGUGCUUACUUUUCGAGUUCAUGACACGAUUCUUGAUUUCAUAGUUUCCAAGUCCAUUGAAGAGAACUUUAUUACUUUCAUUGGUGUUCCUAGUUUAACUAUCGGGAGACAAAGCAAAACUCGUCGGCUCUCCAUGCAAGUUUACGGGAAAGAAAUUCUGUCAUGCCAAUGA